UUCCAAAAGACCAUGGAGAUGUCUGGCUGCUAUAGAUACCCCAGAAAGUCACUCACCAAACAAAUUCGGAAAAAUUGGAAAAAUUAACAUUGCAUUGGGCAUUCUGGGAAACCAGGGCCAAGAAGUUUAGGCUCUCGCUGACAGUUAUAUUCAUUCUGGAGCCACAAAGUCCUCCUGUUUAAUUAAGUGCUGAGAGUUGGGGACUCGCUUAAUGACUGGAUUGCCUCUUGUUCCCAGCACAAAAAAGUGGACCAACAUCUGCAUGGUCUUCUCCAGGUAGGAGAGAGCAGAUGGUUUAAGCCUUUGCCAGGAGGCCUCAUUCACACGCUGGAUUUUAAGGCAUCGUGGUGCUUGUGAGGUGCUUGGUGAGUCUCAGUCAAAUGCUUCUUUGUAAGGCGUGGUAUGAAGGGGUCACUUAGAAGGUGAGCAAGACAUUAAAUGCUCCAUUUCCUCACUGUGAGGUAACACUCUGCAGUCAAACCAGGAGGAGGGAUUUAUUUCAUUUGCUCCUGAAGUUAAAUCUCAUGAAAUCAUGUGAAAUUCAGUGAUGUGUUACUGGGAACAAAAAGGGUUAUGGAGUCCCUGAGGACUAGUUCGGGGACACUGAAAAUAGAGAAAUGGAUGCAAGAGGUACUGCAAUGAAAAACCAAUGCUGAUUAAGAACAACUGAAGAAGCUGCAACUUAGUGGAAAAGACACCAAAUUGUAAGCAGGUUACGUUAUUAAUUGUGAUGCCUUCCCACAAGAGCUGUGUCUGUACUGUGCCACAUAACCCCUGAAGCUGAAUAAAGAACUUUCUCCUUGAUUCCCCCAGCCCUCCAAAAACAUCAGCAGGUGAUGAGGUCCCAUUGUAAAUGACCCAAGGACAAACAGCUCAUGACUUCAAAGGAGGCCUCUUCAACCCAGGGCAAAUUCAGGCCUUCAUUCCAGGGGUCUGUAAGCAAGUACUGAGUGAAGAGAUAUCCUAAAAUCAAUCGUUCCUCUUUGCCAACCCUGGAUAAUGGCAACAACUUCUUUAGUGGCAUGCUGCAUGCUCUGUUUGGUCAUGUCCAGAGAUACCCAAGAUAAAGAAGUUUGAUAAAUAUACACAUUAACUCAGCAAAAAUAACAUGGUUAUUUUCAUGAAUAUUGCACUUGGGCACAUCAGCAAAAUUCAAAAGUGAUAAAAGGUGAGCAUUGUAUAUGAAUUUUGCAUAUGUACAUGGUAAUAUUUUGACACUAGGAACAAUAUUUUAAGUUGAAAUGUCUAUAUUUUAAUUUAGUAAAGAUUUGGCAAGCCCCUGCUAUAUUAGCAAUAUCAAGAUAAUGAGAUAAAGAUCCCACUCUCAAUAAAAAUAUAAAAUUAUACAUGUUUCUUGUGCCCAUCAUCAGCCAUCGUUAUGAACAUCACUCUGAACUGUUAUGCACAAUAAGAUAACUAGAGGGUUAAAAAUGAAGGUUUUACUGCUCACGUUGAAUAUUAUUUUUAGAAAAGAAAGUCAUUUCUAUUAUAGAGGAGGCAUUGUGGUCUACUAUAAUGGCAAGCAUAUUAAAAACAAUGCAUUCCUGGUGAAAUAAUGCUUAGAGCAUAGUCAACAAAAUAAGCAGGCUGCUGAAAAAAGUUUAAAUGUCAUAUUUCAUUAAUUCUAAGACACAUUUCCUCCUGCUUUUAGAUCUCUCAAAUUGAAAGGCAUCUUACAACCUAUAGAUGAAAUCUAGUAAAUAGAAUAAGAUAAAAAGUAUCUUAGUUUCUUUCCUUGGGUUGUUUGCCUUUCUUUUAAGGGAAGGUUUGUUUGACUGUUGUGUUUUGUUUUUAACAGCUUGUUUAUGAAUCUUCCCUUUUCUAGCGUUAAUGAUUGUGUGAGCCUAGAAUUUAAAUGGUACAAAACUCUGAUUUUUGUUUUUAUUCUUUGUUCUGACCAUUACUGAGGGGAGUACAGGACACUGAAGCAGAAACAAGGUCUGAAAGUGGCAAUGUGGACCUUGCUCCUCUGUGGAGGACUCUGGUACCUGUCUGUGUCUGAAUCUUGCCACUUCCACUUAUCUAGCUUUGCGAUCUGGAAAAGAUUAACUUUAGCCUCUCUGUGCCUCAGUUUCUUCAAGUGCUGAAUAAUGGUAUCUACCUCAUAGUGCUGCUAUGAGGGUUGAGUUUAAUAUAAGUAAGGCCUUAGAAUAAUGCCUGGCACAUACUAAAUAUUCUCUCAACUUUAGCUGUUACCAUUGUGCCUCACUUCC
rnacentral:lncRNA from 1 species